rnacentral:lncRNA from 1 species
GAGAAAGAGCAGAUGCAGUAGCAGGACACAGUGCCCGGAAGGCAGAACAAUGAGGCUGCCCCUGCCUCCGGUGAUGGCUGUGGGACCGGGAAUGAAGAUCCUGUUGCUUCUGUCCCACCUUCUCCUGUGACGCGUCUCCCUGCGGCAGCGCCGCGCUGAGGUGCCACACUGCUGGUUCCAACACCGCAGCCGCCACCGCCGCCGCCAUUUUCGUGGCGGAUGAGGGCCCGUGGCUGCCCUUCAUGGCUGCUGUGCCGGCGAAGAGGCAUUCUGACCUCCAGGGCUGCCGCAGGCCUCACCAUGUCCUUGGAUGUGUGAUGCCCUACGGGGACAGCCAGGCCGCUGUGGGGCCACCCCCGAAGGCCACUGGCCACUCCGACGAGCACCCGGCCCAGACCAAGAGCCCUGCAAACAACCGUCAUAGGAAGCGGCCAGGCCGCAACCAGGCUGUCGCAGCUCAGAGGCCUCCAGGGCGGGGUCUGUUUCCUCGGCCUUUGCAGCCAUCUUCUCCAGGGUCCCAGCCUAGCAGCCGUUGCGGUUCCCGGGCUUCUGUGUCGAGUCAGGCAACGCAGCCAGGCCCUGCACUCCUCAGCCAUGCAUCUGGGCCAAGCCAUGCAUCUGGGCCAAGCCCUGCUCGCCGAAGCAGCAUCGUUCUGCCAGGUCCUGCUCUCCGCAGACGUGCAUCUGGUUCAGGCCCUGCCAUCCGACGCUGCACCACCCAGUCAGGCCCUGCUCUUCCACGCCGCGCCACUCAUCCAGGCCCAGCUCGCCGAGGCCGUGCACCCGCGCCGG